rnacentral:lncRNA from 1 species
UCAUGAAAAAGGAACAACAACAACUUCAAAAUAAUGUGAAACAAAAGCACAAGAAACAGUUGGUAGUAACAGAAAUCGAGGGACAAAAACUAAUCAAGUCAUAAUUUUGUUCCUGUGGGCUGUGGGAAAGAUAAAUGAAGAAGCUUUUUCUUGUGUAGAACUGAAGUCAAGUUAGUUGUUAACUCUGUUGAAGCUGUUAGAAGCAGCAUCAAGAAAAGUACAUAAAAACUAGUAUGCUUUUCCUCGUUUUUCCUUUAUGUUUUCAGACAAAAAUGGAAAGCUGUUAAAUCAUACUAGACGACGUUUCUUUCCCUUUUUUUGUGGCCGAAAGGUUGAGAUCAUGGAGGAAUCGACAGAAGUGAAAUGAAGGAAAGAAAAAGUUGAUUCUUUCUACCUGAAAUUCUGAGAUACUGUUAAGCAAGUCACCUCUCAUUCAAAUACUUCCAAAACAAAACAGUUGGAGAAAAGAAUGUAAAAGACUUGCUUUAUAAUGCUGGAAAAUAUGGACGGUACAAGAAACAAACAUAUUGCCCUUUAGCUUUUGACUGCCGAUAACUGCUUUUGUCGACAGCUUUUUAAGAACAUAAACCCUUUGUGCUGAGGGUCUAUCGGAAACUGCCUCUCUACCUCUGAGCAUAGGGGUAAGGUCAUGUACACUCUAUCCUCUCCAGACCCCACUUUGUGAGACUAUACUGAGUAUUUUGUUAUUGUUCUUAAGAGUAGAAACACC